UACGUAGGGCGCAAGCGUUAUCCGGAAUUAUUGGGCGUAAAGAGCUCGUAGGCGGUUUGUCGCGUCUGCUGUGAAAGACCGGGGCUCAACUCCGGUUCUGCAGUGGGUACGGGCAGACUAGAGUGAUGUAGGGGAGACUGGAAUUCCUGGUGUAGCGGUGAAAUGCGCAGAUAUCAGGAAGAACACCCGUGGCGAAGGCGGUUCUCUGGGACGGUACUGACGCUGAGACGCGAAAGCGUGGGGAGCGAACAGG
rnacentral:rRNA from 1 species